GCUGCUCAGUUGUUAGUUGUAGGCGGGGCCUCUGAGGGCAACUUGGUCCACUAAAAGCAAAAGCAUUUAAUUUUAUUUUCCUAAACAAGAAAAUAUAUAUACAUUUGGUAAAUACAUAACAUAAAAAUAUGAAAUGUUUAAAAAUUAAGUAUGUUUUAUUCUUAUUAACUUCGCUGGCACAUGGCAUUACAUUUCGCGCCAGAAGUGGACUGCUUGAUUAUUAAUUAGCAUUUAGGCCUAAUACAUUUCUGAUAUAUGUACAAUUUUAUAUGAUAGUCGGGUAAAUAUUGAAAUAAGAAGUUGAAAUUGACCAAAAAUGACGCAUUCUCCAGCUUCAUUGUGGAAAGAUCGCGAAGUGAAGUGUACACAGUGUGGUUUCUGUGGAUGGCCUGCAUUUCUUCAGCAGCAGCAGAAUCCUCUGAGGAACUGGCCUGACUCAUCUGCAUCUGUGACAGGUUCAGGCUUUGCGGAAGGCAAAGAAGAGGAGAGCGGAGGGGAGGAAAAAUGGAGAAAGGAAAAGGAAAGCAUUGAUAAAUUUGAUUUCCACACACAUGCUAGAUGCAGUUAGGC
ensembl:lncRNA